rnacentral:rRNA from 1 species
GACGAACGCUGGCGGCGUGCCUAAUACAUGCAAGUCGAACGAGAGCGCCCGGUGCUUGCACUGGUCACUCUAGUGGCGAACGGGUGAGUAACACGUGGGUAACCUGCCCAUCAGAGGGGGAUAACAUUCGGAAACGGAUGCUAAAACCGCAUAGGUCUUCGAACCGCAUGGUUUGAAGAGGAAAAGAGGCGCAAGCUUCUGCUGAUGGAUGGACCCGCGGUGCAUUAGCUAGUUGGUGAGGUAACGGCUCACCAAGGCCGUGAUGCAUAGCCGACCAGAGAGGGAGAUCGGACACAUGGGGACUGAGACGCGGCCCAAACUCCUGCGGGAGGCAGCAGUAGGGAAUCUUCCGCAAUGGACGCAAGUCAGACGGAGCAACGCCGCGUGAGUGAAGAAGGUUUUCGGAUCGUAAAACUCUGUUGUUAGAGAAGAACAAGUGCUAGAGUAACUGUUAGCGCCGAGACGGUAUAUAACCAGAAAGCCACGGCUAACUACG